CCCAGGCUGAGCGCCGCGCGCAAAGCCGUGCGGAGAUUGGAGGCCGCGCGGGUCCCUGGUCUGGGCCAUGUCUGGCUGUGACGCUCGGGAGGGAGACUGUUGUUCCCGGAGAUGCGGCGCGCAGCGAUGAAAUCUACAUUGCUCCUUCAGGAGUGCAAAAGGAACGAAUUCAGCCUGAAGACAUGUUUGUUUGUGAUAUAAAUGAAAAGGACAUAAGUGGACCUUCGCCAUCGAAGAAGCUAAAAAAAAGCCAGUGUACUCCUCUUUUCAUGAAUGCUUACACAAUGAGAGGAGCAGGUGCAGUGAUUCAUACCCACUCUAAAGCUGCUGUGAUGGCCACCCUUCUCUUUCCAGGACGGGAAUUUAAAAUUACACAUCAAGAGAUGAUAAAAGGAAUAAAGAAAUGUACUUCCGGAGGGUAUUAUAGAUAUGAUGAUAUGUUAGUGGUACCCAUUAUUGAGAAUACACCUGAGGAGAAAGACCUCAAAGAUAGAAUGGCUCAUGCAAUGAAUGAAUACCCAGACUCCUGUGCAGUACUGGUCAGACGUCAUGGAGUAUAUGUGUGGGGGGAAACAUGGGAGAAGGCCAAAACCAUGUGUGAGUGUUAUGACUAUUUAUUUGAUAUUGCCGUAUCAAUGAAGAAAGUAGGACUUGAUCCUUCACAGCUCCCAGUUGGAGAAAAUGGAAUUGUCUAAGCCAAAAGAAAGUCUAAUUAUAUACAGAGAUAAAGCUAAACGUAAUUAUUAUUUAAAUGAAAGCUAUUUUUUUAAAUGAAUUGAAAUUUUUCACGAUGCUACUAAUUUGCCACUAAAUACUGCAAAUGGUCACCCUGAAUCUCUUCUGACAUUGGAUGUUAUUUGCUUAUAUUCUUAUAAUUUUAAAUGAGGGGACAGUGAAAUGAAAAUUUUAUACUCUAUGUUUCCGUUUAUUUUUAAAUCCUUAACAGCAAAAUAUUUGCCUUUAAUUUCUUUUUUAUAUAUACUCUCAGAGAAUUCCUCUUAAUUUUUAAAGAUGCUGGUGAUAAUAAAAUUCAUUGGAAAAU
rnacentral:sRNA from 1 species